UACAGAGGUGGCAAGCGUUAAUCGGAAUUACUGGGCGUAAAGCGCGCGUAGGCGGCUUUGCAAGUCGAGUGUGAAAUCCCCAGGCUCAACCUGGGAACUGCAUUCGAGACUGCAUAGCUAGAGUAUGGGAGAGGGAAGUGGAAUUUCAGGUGUAGCGGUGAAAUGCGUAGAUAUCUGAAGGAACAUCAGUGGCGAAAGCGACUUCCUGGACCAAUACUGACGCUCAUGUGCGAAAGCGUGGGGAGCAAACAGG
rnacentral:rRNA from 1 species